UACAGAGGUCCCAAGCGUUGUUCGGAUUCACUGGGCGUAAAGGGCUCGUAGGCGGCCAACUAAGUCGGACGUGAAAUCCCUCGGCUUAACCGGGGAACUGCGUCCGAUACUGGAUGGCUUGAGGUUGGGAGAGGGAUGCGGAAUUCCAGGUGUAGCGGUGAAAUGCGCAGAUAUCGGGAAGAACACCCGUGGCGAAGGCGGUUCUCUGGGACGGUACUGACGCUGAGACGCGAAAGCGUGGGGAGCAAACAGG
rnacentral:rRNA from 1 species